rnacentral:tRNA from 1 species
AGGAAAGUAUUUAAAUUUUAUAAAAUCUAAUUUGCAUUUAGAAAUUGAAUAUUCCUUUCCUG